UUUCUUUUUUUUUUUUUUUAAACUUUUUUUUUUAGAAGGAAGGAAAGAAAAUAAGACAGGGGACAGGAAAGAGGAGGCAAAAAGAAAUUAAAUUGGAAGAAUAAGUAAUAGAAAAAAAAUAUAUAUAAAAACAGUGAGUAUGUGAUCUUGUGUGUGUGUGUGUGUGUGUGUGUGUGUGUGUGUGGAGAAGAUGAAGAAAUCAUAAAACUUUUGCCAUAUUAAUAGUCCAAAUGAAAAAUAUCCAAACACCAGUUUCUUGACGAAGCUGACAGAGAGAGAGAGAGAGAGAAAAAAAGAGAGAGGAUGAGUACAAACACCUUGUCUACAUUUACUUGGGUGGGGGUGGUUCUGUUUGUUUGAGUUUUUUUUAUAUUUUUGCUUUUUGUUUGUUUUUGUUUGUUUUUUUUUUUAAUAUUUUUUUUGUUUUGUUUUUUUUUUUACUUUGGCUUGGUUUCAACCACAUAUUUACUGCAAUGUGAAAUUGGGUGUCGGGGAGCAGCAUGUUUCUUCAUUUAUUAUUUAUUUUUUUUUUGUGUGUGUGUGUGUGUGUGUGUGUGUAGGCAGGCCAUGUGCGCUCUGUGAAGUGAGGAAUGCACACGUGUGUGUGUGUGUGUGUGUGUGUUAGUCUGCAAGUAACAAAAAAUUUAAUAAUGAUAAUAAUAGACAUUGAAGCAAAACAAUAAAAAUGAAGAAAAAAGAAAAAGAACAAAUCAGUUACAAUGAAUGAAAUAUCAGGAGAUGUGAGUUCACUUAUGACAUCUUUAAGUUGAUUUGAAACUUAAAAGGGAGGUUUUAAAUAAAAUUAAGAUAUAAAAAAAGUGAGGGGAGGGGGGGGUGAUAUAAAACAUCAAUUAGUAUAAUCUACAAUAAUAACAAUGAUUCCUUAGAUGGGUUCAAGGCUUUUAGAUUUGGAUGGGAUCGUGUUACAUUCAUGCCUUUCCCCAGGAGUGUUAGUAGCAGAAAGAGAAGUGGCUACAAGCAAGAAUUGAAACUGGGUUUUACAGACUUAUAUAUCUUGGCAAGGGGGGGGGGUGAAGAACAACAAUGAUAAUGAUGAUGAUGAUGAUGAUAAUUUCUAACAUGCACACACACAGGUGGAGGUUGGGAGUUUAGGGUAGUUGAUCACCUUAACCAGUACUGAAUUUAUCUGACCCUGGAGAAAUGAAAGACAAGGUUGAUUCCUGGCAGGCUUUGAACCCAGAAGAUAAUGAGAUCCUUACUCAACUACUGCAAGGGAUUCUUUCUAAUCCUGUUCACCACCUGCCUACGUUCACCUUGGUAGGACCAUAUAUAACUUAUACAAGAAGUCUGAGAUCUGCUGUUGUAAGAUUGUAAAUAUCAGGCCGUGCACUUAUGAGAGGGAGAGGGGCAAGAAGUCAGGGGAGUAAAUGAAAGGGGGUUCCCAUACAAAAUUUGAAACUAGAUUCUCAAGGCUCAAGAGCCAACUUGCUGAUCUACCAAACAAUUAUUUGUUAAUUGUUUCACAUAGAAGAAAAAAAGAAAGGGGGGGGGUCUCCUGAGAAGGGAGAGAGUAAAGAAUAUCUCUCAACUGAAGUGGUGCAGACUGCAACUGAAAACCAAGCCAAUUUUUAUUAAGCCAAAUAAAAUGUUAACAAUAAUGGUUUCUAACAUAGACAGAUAGCCACAAGUCUAGUGAAGAGAGGUAGAUUAGUCAAUAACUGGCCGCAAGUUUUGACUGGAACUAUAUAUAUACAUUAUCA
rnacentral:lncRNA from 1 species